rnacentral:rRNA from 1 species
CGGGUGAGUAACACGUGGAUAACCUACCUAUAAGACUGGGAUAGCUUCGGGAAACCGGAGCUAAUACCGGAUAAUAUAUUUAACCGCAUGGUUCAAUAGUGAAAGACGGUUUUGCUGUCACUUAUAGAUGGAUCCGCGCCGCAUUAGCUAGUUGGUAAGGUAACGGCUUACCAAGGCAACGAUGCGUAGCCGACCUGAGAGGGUGAUCGGCCACACUGGAACUGAGACACGGUCCAG